rnacentral:rRNA from 1 species
GACGAACCGAGCGAACGUUAUUCGGAAUCACUGGGCUCAAAGGGCGCGUAGGCGGGCCAUCAAGUCAGGGGUGAAAGCCCCCAGCUCAACUGGGGAAGUGCCUCUGAUACUGGUGGCCUCGAGGGAGGUAGGGGCGUGCGGAACUUCCGGUGGAGCGGUGAAAUGCGUAGAUAUCGGAAGGAACACCGGUGGCGAAAGCGGCGCGCUGGACCUCUUCUGACGCUGAGGCGCGAAAGCCAGGGGAGCGAACGGG